GACGAACGCUGGCGGCGUGCUUAACACAUGCAAGUCGAACGGUAAGGCCCUGCUUUUGUGGGGUGCUCGAGUUGCGAACGGGUGAGUAACACGUGAGUAACCUGCCCUUGACUUUGGGAUAACUUCAGGAAACUGGGGCUAAUACCGGAUAACAGCUCCUGCUGCAUGGUGGGGGUUGGAAAGUUUCGGCGGUUGGGGUUGGACUCGCGGCUUAUCAGCUUGUUGGUGUCGUAGUGGCUUACCCAGGCCUUGACGGGUAGCCGGCCUGAGAGGGUGACAGGCCACAUUGGGACUGAGAUACGGGCCAGACUCCUACGGGAGGAAGCAGUGGAGAAUAUUGCGCAAUGGGCGGAAGCCGGAUGCAGCAACGCCGCGUGCGGGAUGACGGCCUUCGGGUUGUAAACCGCUUUCGCCUGUGACGAAGCGUGAGUGACGGUAAUGGGUAAAGAAGCACCGGCUAACUACGUG
rnacentral:rRNA from 1 species